AACGAACGCUGGCGGCAGGCUUAACACAUGCAAGUCGAACGGAUCCUUCGGGAUUAGUGGCAGACGGGUGAGUAACGCGUGGGAACGUACCCUUUGCUACGGAAUAACUCAGGGAAACUUGAGCUAAUACCGGAUGUGCCCUACGGGGGAAAGAUUUAACGUCAUAGGAUCGGCCCGCGUUGGCUUAGCUGGUUGGUGGUGUAAUGGCCUACCAAGGCGACGAUCCAUAGCUGGUCUGAGAGGCUGAGCAGCCACACUGGGACUGGGCCACGGCCCAGACUACUACGGGAGGCAGCAGUGGGGAAUAUAGGCCAAUGGGCGCGAGCCUGAUCCAGCCCUGCCGCGUGAGUGAUGAAGGUCUUAGGGUUGUAAAGCUCUUUAACCGGUGAAGAUAAUGACGGUAGCCGGAGAAGAAGCCCCGGCUAACUUCGUG
rnacentral:rRNA from 1 species